AGAAGGAUUCACUCGAAUCCAAAGAAGAGAUGGAAAAGGAAGGAGAGGUAAUACCUGUAGAUGGAUUUGAUCUAACUAAUGAUGAAAUCAAAUUAUUUCAUAUUUGGCCAGGAGGAGUUAUACCUUACUACAUCGAUGAUUACUCAUUCGAUAAAGUAUUACGGGACAGGAUACGUUCCUUUCUCGACUACACUAAUCAUGCUACUUCACUAAAAUUUAUCGAGUUACCACGACCGCCUGAAGAUGAAUCUAGUAGAUGGGUUUUCUUUCUUAAUCGUCAAGGUCUACUAGGUUGCACUGAUCAUCCGUAUCAAAACUUCUCAGAAACAGGAAUACAGAAAGUUGUGCUAGGUUAUAAUUGCAUUAGUGAUGAGGCAUUAGCAGAAAUAGUGUUGUCUCUUGUAGGAGUUCCACCGCAACAUAAUGCACCAAACAGAGAUGAUUACAUAGUAAUUAAUGCUGACAAUAUAUUACCAGAUAAGAAGGCGUUAUUUGAUAAAUUAAAGGAUAACGAAUGGUUGUUUCAUGACAUUGAUUAUGACUUCAUAAGCGCUGGUCAUUUUGGCACUCAUAAACAUACAAUUAAUGGAGGUGCUACGAUUGUUCCAAAGAGUGAGAAUUUGCAAAUACAUAUUGGUGGAGGCAAAGGUUUUAGCUCGGAUGACAUUCAUAAAAUAAAACUUCUCUAUAGUUUUAUUUCAAAAUAUAAAAGAAAUCAAGAAAUAAGAAGUUCAAAGUGUAAAAAAAUGUUUGAGGUAGGU